AGUAACUCUACUGCACUCUGUGAACUCCCGUGCACUCUCUAAUGAGCCGGAACGCACGCGGCUCUUUAUAGUGUCUUUGUCACGUGACUGACGCAGCCGGUAACGCGCUCGGCCAAACAGACACAUUAGUACGGUCUUCAGACAGCUGUUUUGACCGAGCCAUGAUGCACACCAGACAAUGCUUCUCAUGAAGACAAUUCUUACCAGUUCCCUUUAGGUAGUGUGCUUAGCAAGUCCCGGAAACGACGCAGACUGUUCCCAGACAGGAUGUCUGCGGGUGGGAGGUGACAGGCAGAGAAAAAUGGCAGUCGCAGUGGAGGAGAGUGAAUUGGAAGGAUGAUAAGUGGAAUGCUGACUGGUCCAGUGUAUAAUAAGCUAGAAGAUGAGUGACCUGACCUGGACCACGGUACACAUCAGCUCUCGAAAAGCUCUCAUUAUCUUCCAUCAAUCUCUUUCAUCACCUGAGAUUUAGGAAACAAUAUUAAAAAAAAAAAAAUACUUCUGUUGAGUGUGAGGUUAGAUUUCAAGGACAAGCGCCACGUGAGAAGCACCAGUGAAAUGAAAAACAGUAAAAGGGUAUCACAAACAAACUAACAAAUAGUAUUGAUAUACCCUGCAGUAUACAUUGGGAUGAAUUUGUAUGAAUGAAGUUCAAAUGCUACAAUCUAAAGGGAACUCAUAUUUUGCUGACAUGCUAAUCAUUAAAUAUAGACGUGUCUGCUUCUAAUGUUUUAGUACAUAAUAAAACAUAGAAAGUAAAACUGUAGUAUAACCAACAAUAAAAUACAUCUAAAAUAUGACUGCGUGAGAAAGAAUAUGUGGGCAGACAAAAGAGCUCUAUAUGCAAGAAUGACAAAUUAUAAGAACAGGCCAGUAUGCUGACAUUUGAUCAACCGUGUCUAUUAUCUUCAAAUACCCGCUACUUUUUGAGCAGAAUUCUAGCUUUGUAUAGGCUAAUGUUCCUAUUGCUGAAAGCACAAAAAUGUGUAAUAAACAACUAGCACAUUUAUAUUUUGCUUUUGUUUUCUUACUUUACCAAAAAUGAACCGAACCGUAACCUCAAAGCCAAGGUACGUACAGAACCGAGAUUUUUGUGUACUGUUACACCCCUAGUAAAUGAUCUUAACUAG